GUGACAGCCAAGAGACUGAAACCCUCAGUUUAUCCAUAGAACAGGUACACUCCAAGCAGUGGCUGAAUAGGUUUCUCUGUCAAUGAAUCUCACUUCUUACCUAGAAAACCCCCUUUAAAGGUGAAAGGGUAGUUUAGUCUUGGUCCCAAUCAAUCCUUUUCCCCU
ensembl:misc_RNA